rnacentral:rRNA from 1 species
GGAAUAACUGUAUCAGUAAAACUAAAAAGAAAUUUCUUAAUAGGUGAAAAUUCCUUUAAUUAAUAUAAUAGACGAGAAGACCCUAAGAAUUAUAUAUUAAAAUUGUAAAUUUAUAAUAAAAUUUUUGUUGGGGCAACAGAUUUGGUAAAAUCAAUAAUCUUUAAAAUUAACAUACUAAGUAUAUUUAAUAGGAAUUUAAUUACCUUAGGGAUAACAGCAUUAUUAAUAUAUUAGAUUGUGACCUCGAUGUUGGACUAGGGACUUUUAAAGUAAGCCAUUUUAAAAGAUUGUUCUGUUCGAACAUUGAAC